AGGAAUAUUGGACAAUGGGUUAGCGCCUGAUCCAGCCAUCCCGCGUGAAGGAUUAAGGACCUAUGGUUUGUAAACUUCUUUUUUACAGGGAUAAACCUACUCUCGUGAGGGUAGCUGAAGGUACUGUAAGAAUAAGCACCGGCUAACUCCGUGCCAGCAGCCGCGGUAAUACGGAGGGUGCAAGCGUUAUCCGGAUUUAUUGGGUUUAAAGGGUCCGUAGGCGGAUUGGUAAGUCAGUGGUGAAAUCCCGCAGCUCAACUGUGGAACUGCCAUUGAUACUGCUAGUCUUGAGUGUAUUUGAAGUAGCUGGAAUAAGUAGUGUAGCGGUGAAAUGCAUAGAUAUUACUUAGAACACCAAUUGCGAAGGCAGGUUACUAAGAUACAACUGACGCUGAUGGACGAAAGCGUGGGGAGC
rnacentral:rRNA from 1 species